rnacentral:lncRNA from 10 species
GCUGACUGGUCCAUUUUACAGAGAGCUGAUCGGUCCAUUUUACAGAGUGCUGAGUGGUCCGUUUUGACAGAGUGCUGAUUGGUGCGUUUACAAACCUUUAGCUAGACACAAAAGUUCUCCAAGUCCCCUACCUGAUUAGCUAGACACAGAGCGCUGACUGGUGCGUUUACAAACCUUUAGCUAGACACAGUGCUGAUUGGUGCGUUUACAAUCUUUUAGCUAGACAGAAAAGUUCUCCAAGUCCCCAUCCGUCCCAGAAGCCCAGCCGGCUUCAUCUCUCACUGGCAUUGGCAGGGCAGCGGGACUUUGCGACACCUAGCCCGGGCACUCCAGCAGCCCAGAGGGAGCUCCUCCCAGACAAUCAAGAGGGAAAGAGGGGAAGCAGAAAGAGACGGAGACCUGCUAUCUUGGCCAACGAUCCCGUGAAGAGGGAACGGCGGUCUACGCAGGGAAUUCAGCUUCCUAUCAAGCCUAGCAGGUGCUGGGCUUCGUUGCUGUUUCUGGCAGAGUCCUGCUUCUCGCGCCCGCUGCACUGGGUUUGGCGUCUCUGCUGUUCGCUGAGAUCUGCACACUCCAGGAGCCAUAGGGAGGACGCCAGGACAGCCCCGAAGACGAGAAUGCCUCGCUCCUCCUAGGACGGGAGGAAAAUCCCACAAAUCCUGUCUACUCCAAGCAGCCGCGCCCCUCGGGAGACCACCCCAGUUGGAGGGGCCCACUCCAGCCACCGCUACACCGGGACGCGCUCCUCCUCCCCCUGUGCCCGCCCCUUCUCGUGAGGGACCACCAGGAGGCCCCUCGAUUCCCCAGGUAUGGGAACUCUAACACCAAUGCCUCUGCUCCCUGGGCGGUGAGCGCAGCGCCCACGGGUCCUUCGGCCAGGGGCUGGGCUGCCUCGAUUUCCAUCCCGGACCCGAAAAAGGGCCGGACGCGGUGGCUUACACCUGUAAUCUCAGCACUUUGGAAGGCCGAGGCGGGCGGAUCACUUGAGGACAGGAGUUCGAGAGCAGCCUGGCCAAAAUGGCGAAACCCCCAUCUCUACUAAACAUACAAAAAAAUUUGCGCACCAGCAUGGCACAUGUAUACAUAUG